GUGAGGAAUUUUCCGCAAUGGGCGAAAGCCUGACGGAGCAAUGCCGCGUGAAGGAUGAAGGCCUAUGGGUUGUAAACUUCUUUUCUCAGAAAAGAAUUAUGACGGUAUCUGAGGAAUAAGCAUCGGCUAACUCUGUGCCAGCAGCCGCGGUAAGACAGAGGAUGCAAGCGUUAUCCGGAAUGAUUGGGCGUAAAGCGUCUGUAGGUUGUUUAAAAAGUAUUCUGUCAAAGAUUAGGGCUUAACCCUAGAUAGGCAGAAUAAACUUUUAAGCUAGAGUUUGGUAGAGGCAGAGGUAAUUCCCGGUGGAGCGGUGAAAUGCGUAGAUAUCGGGAGGAACACCAAAGGCGAAGGCACUCUGCUGGGCCAAUACUAACACUGAGAGACGAAAGCGAGGGGAGCAAAUGGGAUUAGAUACCCCGGUAGUCC
rnacentral:rRNA from 1 species